rnacentral:guide_RNA from 1 species
AUAUAGAUAACUCAGUGUAAUUAAUCCGUGAGACAGUGAUUAUAU